ACCAUUCACUGUCCUGACGAUGUAGAGGCCCAUGGGUACAAAAUGCCGGUCAUCACGCCCUGUGUAGCUGAGCUUUGGGGUGCCACUGGAGCCCUUGAUGAUCUUCAUCUCCAACCUGAUUUCCCCGAGAAGGCCCAUCGUAACUAUGACAGCAUCAACGGGCCUGUAUUUCUGCCUGACACAGCCUGCCCGGGUCCCUUCUGACAGGAAGCUGAAGCAGCUCUCAGCCAGGGGGCUCUUGGCUGCAGCAGCACUGCAGCAAAGCAGGUGAGGUGAGGAGACCGCUAAAGCCAGCUCACUUCCCCACCCCUGACCCAUCUCUACAAAAUGGAGGAUGACUCCAGGACACAGCCGCACCCCCAUCUCCUCUUGACUCUGAACUUCAAAGGUCAAGUCACUCACCUGACAAAAAUCUUCUCCAUCUCUUCCAGUCUGUACACCUCCUUCACCCUGCAGGCAGAGGGACAGAGACAAGGCAAAGGCUUCCUGGGGGACAUGCUCAUCCAGGAGGCAGCUGGGAGGCAGGGGACUGCACCUGACCUUAGCUUUUGCCCCAGGCCCUCCCUGAAACCACCCAGCCCACUGGCAGUAAGGACACCGAGCCUGCCAUGCAGCGAUCUACACAGAUAAGCCCUGGGUUUCAGGCCUGCAUCAGGACAACUGGGGAUUGCAACUAUGGAUACUAGAAGACAGGAGGGAGAAAGGAAGAAAAGUCUGGCAGACAAAGAUGUCUCUAUCAGCAUUCCCAGCCCCAAGUCGUCUUCACCAUCACCAGAGGGCAGAAAACCAAGGAGCAGGCUCUCGCCCUGGUCUGUCCACGUAGAUUUUGGGCCUUCCAUAACAAGUUACUGCUCAAUAGUCCUAAUAGUCCUACUACCCACAGCAAGGGGGGGACCCCGAACCAGGAUGCAGGGCUCCUGUUUGAUGCCCACGCUCCACCUCUGGGGGGCCCUGAACAUAUCUUUGGAACUGCUAGUGGGGAAGGUUUCCAGAAAUCCAGCAACCAAACCACAAGCAAUGAAGGCAAGGUUCCCCGAGAGCUGCCUUUCAGGACUUAGCAGACAGGACAUUAUUAAGUGCAGACAAAUUCCUUUGACACUUUCACAUGCUGUCUAUAAAGUGCAUUCUCAAUACUGGAUUUAAUUUUAACUAAAUUUAUGUUAAAAAGGACAAAAAUUAUAUUGGUGAAGUGUAAAUAGAUACCUUAGUCUCCACUGCAUGAAGCCCCAAGAGCAGGGCUAAGCCCUUUGGCAAUAACCUCAGACCUCAGCCUACCCUGGAAAAGUGUCCUCCAUCUGUCUCCUCCUGAUCCUGUUCUCUUCCUCCUUUCCUUCUCGGGAUCCUGGAAUUUUCCCACUAUCUAACAUUACAACCACCCUGGCCGCUGCCUUCCCAAGCACUGGGGGUCCCAUUCCCUCAAACCAUCCUUCUCUUUUUUCAUGUUCAAAACUCCCAUUCCCUCAGCACCCAUUACUUACCUGAAAAAAAUGAGAAGGCCAGGUGAUGUACUAACAAUGCCCAAGUGGGAACGGGUGAUUCAUGAGGUGGGCUGACACUCUGAGAAGCACGUGCAUCUUAAACAAGGACACCUUAACCCCUCAGAAUGCAAUCCACCCACUGCUAGGCAGGAUGGGGAGAUGCUCUGGGGCAAGUUGCCUACCUAGCACCCCCAAACAAAUUCCUCAGCAAGAACAGUCUUGUCCCUAACACCAACUUGCCUAGUGCCUUCCACUGAGCCGUCCCAUCCCUCACUGGACGGGAGCAGCAGGUACUAGCCAGAAAGAAGCAAGGAGGGCAGGAAUCACAUGCUCACCUGAUGGGAUUCAUGUCAGGCCGACUGGGCUUGGAAACGGCUUUCACAAAUUUCUCGGCAAGCUGAAUUCUACAAUCCAAACAGUCUCUCUCAGAGGCAAGAAAGGAUGCCUCCACCAGCACCCCUACUCCCAGGGUAUUUUCACAGCUCCAGUAGGAGAACCUUCUGAAUCCGCAGUAAGACUGCUCUAAGAGGAAGAACCCAUGUCCCCCAGGAAGGCCGCCCUGCUCUUCUCGUCUUCAUUCAUGUCCCGUCCCUGUGGAUUCUGGCCUCUAAUUUCACUAUGUCGAUUGGUUUUCUUGAAGUGUGCCUUCACCUGUGCUCAGUCACCUCCACUAGAACUUCAAGUAUCGUCUUUAUUGUAUGUCUGCCCUGUCACCCCAAACCGUGGACACCACAGUGCACCCGCUCAGAUGAAACAAUUUAAAUGGGACCACUGAAGCACAGGACAUUUCUUCCAAGGAGUACCCCCUCUUCCCACAAGGUCACCCUCUUGCUCAACCUUAAUAUAAAUACCUCAACCUGA